CCUACGGGCGGCAGCAGUGGGGAAUAUUGGACAAUGGGGGCAACCCUGAUCCAGCCAUGCCGCGUGUGUGAAGAAGGCCCUCGGGUUGUAAAGCACUUUCAGUGAGGAAGAACGCCUGGUGGUUAAUACCCAUCAGGAAAGACAUCACUCACAGAAGAAGCACCGGCUAACUCCGUGCCAGCAGCCGCGGUAAUACGGAGGGUGCGAGCGUUAAUCGGAAUUACUGGGCGUAAAGCGCGCGUAGGUGGCUUGAUAAGCCGGUUGUGAAAGCCCCGGGCUCAACCUGGGAACGGCAUCCGGAACUGUCAAGCUAGAGUGCAGGAGAGGAAGGUAGAAUUCCCGGUGUAGCGGUGAAAUGCGUAGAGAUCGGGAGGAAUACCAGUGGCGAAGGCGGCCUUCUGGACUGACACUGACACUGAGGUGCGAAAGCGUGGGUAGCAAACAGGAUUAGAUACCCCUGUAGU
rnacentral:rRNA from 1 species